GCGCCCGUAGCUCAGCUGGAUAGAGCGCUGCCCUCCGAAGGCAGAGGUCACACGUUCGAAUCGUGUCGGGCGCGCCA
rnacentral:tRNA from 5 species